CCCUUAGAUGUUCUGGGCCGCACACGCGCUACACUGAAGGAGGCAGCGUGUACUCCUGGAUCGAAAGAUUUGGGUAACCCGCGAAUCUCCUUCGUGCUAGGGAUUGAGGUUUGCAAUUAUCCUUCAUGAACGAGGAAUUCCCAGUAAGUGCAAGUCAUAAGCUAGCGCUGACUACGUCCCUGCCCUUUGUACACACCGCCCGUCGCUACUACCGAUUGAAUGAUUUAGUGAGGACUUCGGACUGGGACCGAUGCGGCUUUCGGGCUGCGUCGGUAUUCUGGAAAGAUGUCCAAACUGUAUCAUUUAGAGGAAGUAAAAGUCGUAACA
rnacentral:rRNA from 1 species